GCAAUUGCAAACGUAAUAUGCACUGUAAUCCCAAACAGUUGUACUAGCUCAUAAGUAAUAAGGUCAUAACAGUCAAAUGUCGUUAUGCAGUUGACCAAACUAUAAAGUGUUGAGCUCUGUUGAGAUUUAUGCCACUUUAAUUGAAGAGGGCUCAAUAUUUUAUAGGUAAUUUGUGUGGAACGCUCAAAAAGUUUAGGUAGUGUCAUGACGUAUCGACGUCAUGACGUUCUGGUGGGUGGGUCAUCUCUCCCUCAGGAAAGCUGAGUCAGCCAUCUUGAAUUUGCCUUGAUGCGGGGAUGUUUGGGCCGCCCGUGUGGAUGUGGAACACAGUUUAAUUUGUUUUAAUUUGUUUGCAAUGCGCACUUUUAUGCUGCCCGCUUGAAACCACCACCACCUCCGUUUUUAUCAUUAGUCUUAUUGCCCUCGUUUUCUUAAGCGCCAUCUUAUCAUCACCUCUGAUUUGCGGGUUUCCUGGAUGAACUACAUUUCCCAUAAUGCAUGUUUGCCCGGGACAUUGACGGUGGAGGAAGGUCCAUGAGUUUUCGCUGUUCGCCGGUAAUGCAAGUGCGUACUGCUCAAGUGUGUGGUUGUGAGAUAAUCUCGAAAUCCUUUUAACAGUUCAGAUAUCGGACUACAAAGAGUGCUACAGAGAGCCAGCGUUUCACCAUCAGACAGGUGCUAAUAGGCUGAAGUUGGCCCAAUGGAGUGGAAGUGCAAGUUGUGUUCUGCAACUUCAAAUACCCGGGGACAAUUAUUUUGGCACUAUACUGUACUGCAUAGCCAAUAUUCAAGAGUGUCCCCCCUGCCAUGUCUCUAUGACAGUUGCAUUUGUACUUUUCCAUCAUUCGAAGCGAUGAAAGCUCAUCUGUCAAGAUGUCAUAAUGAUUCAUGUAGAGUAGAUGCAACUGAAGGAGCAUGUGUUUUUUUUACAUGUCCUUUGUGUAACUUCAAGCAGCCCUUUUCUGAGGAAAUUCUAUUGGGUCAUUUGAGAAGUCAUUUACGAAGUCAUGAGAUGGUAGCAUGCCCAUUCAAGAAUUGUAAUUACAGAACAAAUAGCUACUCAGCGUUUAAUGCACACAAAAGUAG